rnacentral:misc_RNA from 1 species
AACAUCGCGCACCUGCGGGAACCUGCGGAGGGAUCAUUACCGAGUGCGGGCUGCCUCCGGGCGCCCAACCUCCCACCCGUGACUACCUAACACUGUUGCUUCGGCGGGGAGCCCCCCAGGGGCGAGCCGCCGGGGACCACUGAACUUCAUGCCUGAGAGUGAUGCAGUCUGAGCCUGAAUACAAAUCAGUCAAAACUUUUAACAAUGGAUCU